CUUUGGCUAGAAGAGGAAACCAGGGGAAAAGGCAUACGAGUACCACGUGUCCGCAGGAGGAUGACUGUCUCCCAGUGAAUGGUUCCACAGACUGGAUCCGGAGCAGUAACAAGGACAUUUCUUGUUCUGGCAAGCCGCCAUGACAGAGAGAACUUGGAGAAUACCCUGGGUGUGGACAAGAGGCUGAAUGGGAACACUCUGUACUGAUAAUGAUCCUGGACAGCAACGCUUUAGGAGACAGUCUGGCAGACUCUCAGAGACACUAGAUGCCUGCAAAGCUGAAGAACAGAAACCACUAGGGGAAUGCUUGCCAAAGCAAGAGAAGAAGAGAUACUCAGCUCCACUGACCAUCACUGGCAGAACUGAGGAGGUGGUGGGUUGGUAGGGCCCCAUAUGCGGCGCCAUAAAGGCGUGACUCCAGGGGGCACCUAAACCAACCCGAGUGAUAUCGCUAGGGGAAAAACCCUUCCAACAACUGUGCACAUGGCGCGCACGCACACGUGCACACCCCCCCCCCCGACCCCCCACUAUUUGGGAUGGAUAUGAGCAAUUACUCGAAGAACUACUGAAGGUUAAAACAUAGACCGCUCUGGUUAGCCCGAGAAGCUAUAAUGAACCUCAUUAUUUAAGCUGUGUAUCUGUCUCUGUCUGACCUCCUUGGCCAGAUUCCAGAUAAGAGCCCCAACUCCUUCCAGCAGCCAACUCUUAUCCCCCACCUCUCAAGUCCUUUGUUCUCAAGCUGGUGAAUGUUGCUUAGCUCCUCUGCAGAAAGGUGGGGAAAUCUAUAUCCCUCUGAGUCAUUGGUUGCUAGGUGUCUAUGUCCAAGUGACUGGAUUUGUCAUUGUCUUCUCAGAUGCUCCACUGAUACGGGGCCUAAGGCUCAGACAGCUAAGCAACACCCCCAUCUAUGUCUUUCAGCCUGCCAAGAGAAAAUAGCCCUUUCCUCCCUUUUAAUGGCUAACAAUGCAGAAUAUGGGGAAACUGAGGGACACAAAAUUUAUAGAAAAUUAGUCACAUUUGGCAUAAUUGCUAAAAUCACAUUUAGCUAGGAGAAUCUGAUAGUUUCAGAUCCUGAAAAGAGAUGAAGGAGAAGACUUCUUCCCAGGAGGUUGAGCUGCUUGUGUCCCUUAUUAGACAGAAUAGCCUUUGGGUGUUGCUGCCUUGUUCUUUCAGUAGCCGCUUAUAUCACCGAAGAGUUAGGUGGUGGGUGCGAGAAUAAAAUGAAGUGGAUGGAACAAAGU